rnacentral:lncRNA from 1 species
AGUGUUCACUUUAUCUUACUCUCUCUCUCUCCUCUCUCUCACUCUCUGUCUCUGAAAUUUCUUCAGAUUUUUUAUUUGUUUCUGGUGCUCUUACUUUUCACAAUGUUGGAACUUAUUGAUGGUUCUGUCUGUGUCUAUUGGGCUGGACAUGCUUUAGGAUCUUUUAUAACCUGUACUCAGUUUGAGUAGUUUCUUGGGUUGAUUCCGUUUUGAUUUUCUCAUUUCUUUGGAAAUUUAUAAUUUUAAAAUUUUGGACCACUGAGAACAUUUUUAAAUUGUCUUAAUCUAACUUUCCACUUCUAUUCUUUUGCCUAUUCUUCUUAGAUAAUUUUUACACUUUAUUUUCAAGCCCUUCUAUUAAUAUUUUUAUUUCUGCUGUGUUAUUUCUAAGACUUACAGAUUUUAUAAUGCUAUUUUUUAGCAUCUCUCCUAUUUUGUGGAUAUGUCAUCUUUUCUCUCUGAAUAUGAUAAUGAGGCUUUCAUUUGUUUUCUAAGUUUUUAUAUCCCUAGGUAUUUACUGUUUUGAUAAUUUUUUCUUCCCUGUUUGUUUGCUUUGCUUUUUUCUUCCAAGAUAAAGCCUGGAAGCUGCACGUCACCUGCCAGCUUUGUGUGUGCCCAGUGAGGUAAGAAAAUUGGCAGCAUUAAGAUUUAGUAGAUACAUUUUCAUGCAUACCAGGUUUUUAGUGCUAUACUUCUGCUCUCAGAUGUGCCUGUCAUCUCCCUCUGAUAUCCAGACCCUGUUUUACCCUUUAGUAAACUGCUGGGGUUUGGAAAAGGGCAGCUGCCCAGCAUAGAGAAGAGUUCUGUGAGGUUUUUGCCUUAUGUGGACCUCCAUUUUAGUUAUAUAUUGCUGCAUAACAACUCUAUUCUUUCCCCCAAAUUUAGCAAUAAAAAGCAAAAACUACUUUAUUAUGUUCACAAAUUUUGUGUGUGAAGAAUCGAGAAUGGGUGAAACAUGAAAGUCUUUCUUCUUUCUGUAAUGUUUGUGGCUUCAGUGCAGGUGGCAUAAUGACCAGCGGUGACUUGAAUGACAAGGGGACAGAACAGCUGGACAAUCCAAUUCCUAGAUGCUUUCUCCAGUUAUGGCCCUGACUGGGAUCUCCGAAGAAUGACUCAGCUGAAACUAUUUCAUCAUUGCCUACAUUUGUCUUCAGACGACCUGCAGUACAAACUUGGCUUAAACCUGCAGUUGACAAUGGAUUCACCGUGGGAGAAUAAAUUACAAUGGAUAAAAAACAGCAUUACAAUCCCUCAAUAAAAUGGGAUUUUAACAGACAAAGCUCCUGGUAUGUGGUCGUUCUCAGGCCCAAAGGCCCAUUUUGCUUUUGGCUGCAACUCUGUAACUCUGUAACAGAGACCAAGUGCCUGCAGGGAGCAGAUGUUUGGGGCAGUAUCUGCUAAGGUGGCUUUGCUGAAACUUGUUUCUCUCAUUGGGUCUUGGAAGUGGCGAAUAGGACGUUCCUAUAGAAAAACUCAGAAAGAGACUGUGAAAGAUAAUCUUAAAGAGGCACUCACGAAACACAAGCUCCUUCUCCGGGAAAAAGAAUCAUCACCCUUGUUAUCCCAUGAAAAUUCAUCUUCUCCUUUUCAGCUGAUAUGAGGACUUGAUCUGUCCUUUCCUAUAAGUGCCAUCUGUGUUUAAAUGAGGCUGUUACUCUAACUCAAAGCAGACUUGCAAGAGUAAAAUAAUCAAUCUUCAUCAUA